rnacentral:miRNA from 1 species
UGCUUUUAGAAACCGUUGGAAUU